rnacentral:rRNA from 1 species
GACAUACCACUUGUUGCCUCGGCGGAUCAGCCCGCUCCCGGUAAAACGGGACGGCCCGCCAGAGGACCCCUAAAACUCUGUUUCUAUAUGUAACUUCUGAGUAAAACCAUAAAUAAAUCAAAACUUUCAACAACGGAUCUCUUGGUUCUGGCAUCGAUGAAAAACGCAGCAAAAUGCGAUAAGUAAUGUGAAUUGCAAAAUUCAGUGAAUCAUCGAAUCUUUGAACGCACAUUGCGCCCGCCAGUAUUCUGGCGGGCAUGCCUGUUCGAGCGUCAUUUCAACCCUCAAGCACAGCUUGGUGUUGGGACUCGCGUUAAUUCGCGUUCCUCAAAUUGAUUGGCGGUCACGUCGAGCUUCCAUAGCGUAGUAGUAAAACCCUCGUUACUGGUAAUCGUCGCGGCCACGCCGUUAAACCCCAACUUCUGAAUGUUGACCUCGGAUCAGGUAGGAAUACCCGCUGAACUUAAGCAUAUCAAU